rnacentral:rRNA from 1 species
GACGUAGGGUCCAAGCGUUGUCCGGAUUUACUGGGCGUAAAGAGCGCGUAGGCGGCUUGUUAAGUGUGGUGUGAAAUCUCCAGGGCUCAACCCGGAAACUGCACCGCAUACUGGCUAGCUUGAGUGAUGCAGAGGUUUGUGGGAUUCCUGGUGUAACGGUGAAAUGUGUUGAUAUCAGGAGGAACACCCAUGGCGAAGGCAGCAAACUGGGCAUCAACUGACGCUGAGGCGCGAAAGCGUGGGUAGCAAACAGG